CAAUAGCGUAUAUUUAAGUUGCUGCAGUUAAAAAGCUCGUAGUUGGAUUUCGGGUGGGAAUGGCCGGUCCGCCGUUUCGGUGUGCACUUGCUACGCCCACCUUGCUGCCGGGGACGUGCUCUUGAGUUCACGCUCGGGACACGGAGUCGGCGAGGUUACUUUGAGUAAAUUAGAGUGUUCAAAGCUGGCCUACGCUCUGAAUACAUUAGCAUGGAAUAACACGAUAGGACUCUGGCCUAUCUUGUUGGUCUGUAGGACCGGAGUAAUGAUUAAGAGGGACAGUCGGGGGCAUUCGUAUUUCAUUGUCAGAGGUGAAAUUCUUGGAUUUAUGAAAGACGAACUACUGCGAAAGCAUUUGCCAAGGAUGUUUUCAUUAA
rnacentral:rRNA from 1 species